UCCUGGUUAACCCAGGCAGUCUCAUUAGAGUUCCCAACUUAAUGCUGGCAAAUAAUGAUAAGGGUUGCGCUCGUUGCGGGACUUAACCCAACACCUCACGGCACGAGCUGACGACAGCCAUGCAGCACCUGUGCACCGGCCCCGAAGGGAAACACUAUCUCUAGUGUCGUCCAGUGCAUGUCAAGCCUGGGUAAGGUUCUUCGCGUUGCAUCGAAUUAAACCACAUGCUCCACUGCUUGUGCGGGUCCCCGUCAAUUCUUUUGAGUUUCAGCCUUGCGACUGUACUCCCCAGGCGGUAUACUUAUCGCGUUCGCUACGGCACAGCCAGGGUUGAGUCCGGCUACACCAAGUAUACAUCGUUUACGGCAAGGACUAC
rnacentral:misc_RNA from 1 species